rnacentral:rRNA from 1 species
AUUGAACGCUGGCGGCAGGCCUAACACAUGAAAGUCGAGCGAGCGGCGGACGGGUGAGUAAUGUAUGGGGAUCUGCCUGAUGGAGGGGGAUAACUACUGGAAACGGUAGCUAAUACCGCAUACCAUCAGAUGAACCCAUAUGGGAUUAGCUGGUAGGUGAGGUAACGGCUCACCUAGGCGACGAUCCCUGGCUGGUAUGAGAGGAUGAUAAGUCACACUGGGAAGGAGACACGGCCCAGACUCCUACGGGAGGCAGCAGUGGGGAAUAUUGCACAAUGGGCGCAAGCCUGAUGCAGCCAUGCCGCGUGUAUGAAGAAGGCCUUCGGGUUGUAAAGUACUUUCAGUCGGGAGGCGUUACCGACAGAAGAAGCACCGGCUUACUCCGUGCCAGCAGCCGCGGUAAUAC